UGCCAGCAGCCGCGGUAAUACGGGGGAUGUAAGCGUUAUCCGGAAUCAUUGGGCGUAAAGCGCCUGUAGGUUGUUUAUUAAGUCUGUUGUUAAAGACUAGGGCUUAACCCUAGAAAAGCAAUGGAAACUAAUAGACUAGAGUAUGGCAGGGGUAGAGGGAAUUUCUAGUGUAGCGGUGAAAUGCGUAGAUAUUAGAAAGAACACCAGUGGCGAAAGCGCUCUACUGGACCAUUACUGACACUCAGGUGCGAAAGCGUGGGUAGCGAACAGGAUUAGAUA
rnacentral:rRNA from 1 species